GACGAACGCUGGCGGCGUGCUUAACACAUGCAAGUCGAACGGAAAGGCCCUGCUUUUGUGGGGUGCUCGAGUGCCGAAGGGGUGAGUAACAGGUGAGUAACCUGCCCUUGACUUUGGUAUAACUUCAGGAAACUAGGGCUAAUACCGGAUAGGAGCCCCUGUUGGAGGGUGGGGGGUGGAACGUUUCGGCGGUUGGGGUUGGAUGGCGGGCUUUUCAGUUUGUUGGUGGGGGGGUGGCUUACCCAGGAUUUGUAGGGUAACCGGCAUUUGAGGGUGCCCGGCCACAUUGGGACUGAGAGACGGCCCAGACUCCAACGGGAGACAGUAGUGGGGAAUAUUGCCCAAUGGGCGGAAGCCGGAUGCAGAAACGCCGCGGGCGGGAUGACGGCCUUCGGGUUGAAAACCGCUUUCGCCUGUGACGAAGCGUGAGUGACGGUAAUGGGUAAAGAAGCACCGGCUAACUACGUG
rnacentral:rRNA from 1 species